UACGAAGGGGGCUAGCGUUGUUCGGAAUUACUGGGCGUAAAGCGCACGUAGGCGGACAUUUAAGUUGGAGGUGAAAGCCUUGGGCUCAACCCAAGAAUUGCCUUUGAUACUGGAUGUCUCGAGACCGGGAGAGGUGAGUGGAAUUCCGAGUGUAGAGGUGAAAUUCGUAGAGUAUUCGGAAGAACACCAGUGGCGAAGGCGGCUCACUGGCCCGGUUCUGACGCUGAGGUGCGAAAGCGUGGGGAGCAAACAGG
rnacentral:rRNA from 1 species